GAUGAACGCUGGCGGCGUGCCUAAUACAUGCAAGUCGAGCGAACAGACGAGGAGCUUGCUCCUCUGACGUUAGCGUCGGACGGGUGAGUAACACGUGGAUAACCUACCUAUAAGACUGGGAUAACUUCGGGAAACCGGAGCUAAUACCGGAUAAUAUAUUGAACCGCAUGGUUCAAUAGUGAAAGACGGUUUUGCUGUCACUUAUAGAUGGAUCCGCGCCGCAUUAGCUAGUUGGUAAGGUAACGGCUUACCAAGGCAACGAUGCGUAGCCGACCUGAGAGGGUGAUCGGCCACACUGGAAAUGAGACACGGUCCAGACUCCUACGGGAGGCAGCAGUAGGGAAUCUUCCGCAAAGGGCGAAAGCCUGACGGAGCAAAGCCGCGUGAGUGAUGAAGGUCUUCGGAUCGUAAAACUCUGUUAUUAGGGAAGAACAAAUGUGUAAGUAACUAUGCACGUCUUGACGGUACCUAAUCAGAAAGCCACGGCUAACUACGUG
rnacentral:rRNA from 1 species